rnacentral:misc_RNA from 1 species
GAUGAAGAACGUAGCGAAAUGCGAUACGUAAUGUGAAUUGCAAAUUCAGUGAAUCAUCGAGUCUUUGAACGCACAUUGCGCCCCCUGGUAUUCCGGGGGGCAUGCCUGUCCGAGCGUCAUUGCUGCCCUCAAGCACGGCUGGUGUGUUGGGCCCCGUCCUCCGAUCCCGGGGGACGGGCCCGAAAGGCAGCGGCGGCACCGCGUCCGGUCCUCGAGCGUAUGGGGCUUUGUCACCCGCUCUGUAGGCCCGGCCGGCGCUUGCCGAUCAACCCAAAUUUUUAUCCAGGUUGACCUCGGAUCAGGUAGGGAUACCCGCUGAACUUAAGCAUAUCAAUAAGCGGAGGA